UGCUGAGAUAUGGUGGUCCGCCUUAUCAAAUGAUAUAAUUUUCUUGUUAUGUAGAAGGAGAAUUAUAAGUCUUGCAAUUAGGUUUCGGUAUCGCGGGUUUCCUUUAAUAAAUUUCUUCUUUCUUAAAAAAGACAUGUUCUUUCCUUCUUGGUUCCGUUUUUGGAAAGUGACAUAUUUGUCAGGCUUGUGAUUCUCCUUCCAUGACACAGAAAAUGGUACCAAUCGGUAACCGGAUCUCCAUGCGUCUGAGUCGGACAAAGAAACGAGUAUUUGAUCGGACACUUUUCCGGCGCCGGCGAUCUUUCGCCGUUUUUUCAGGUUUCCGGUGAUGAUUUUUGAAAAAAAAUGUUAUUUUUAUUCAAAACCCUAAAUUGAUUAACCCUUCGAAUUAAAUCUUAUUAAUUUUUCGUGAGUAUAUCUCCGCUUUUUGAAACCCUAGUAAGCUGCUUCAGUUUAAAUCCCAAAAUUUGAACCCUAAUUUUUUCUUAAUUAGCUAAUAGACCAUUAUGAGCAUGUUGCUAAAUCUGUUCUUAAUUGAUUGGACUAAUUUUUUUUCCUUUAAGUAGAAACUAAAUUGGCUGAUAAAUUUUUCCUUCAAAAUUUAGUUUUUUUCUGUGUGCUGUUGAGUUUAACAAGCAUUUCUGAUUUUUGUAAUAAAGUAAAUAACGUUGUGCUAUGAGAAGCAGUGAACUAGGGCUUCUUUAGUGUUAAGUUUUAAUUAGGUUUUCACAUUUUUACUUCUUUUCUGCUAUAGCUUACUGGUGAUUUCUUCAGCCUUCUAAUGAUUAGUUUCAUCCAUUUCCUAAAGUUUUGAACUUUUUUAUUUUCAAAUGCGUUAUGAGUUAGUUCAGUUGCAGGAAAGUGAAAGAUUAUUAAAGCUUCAUGAUAGGAUUUCUUAGUUGCUGAUUACUUUCCAUAUUUGCUGAAAUCAGCUUGUUUAAUUACCUGUGAAACCUGUUAUGGUGCAGAAUGUUGCAUCCUGAAGGAGAAGUAUUUUGUGCUAAAUUCUACCAUUUAUUUCUUGUCAAUAAGUUAUGGCGAUAGUGUGCUCUCAUGUGUCAGAAAUAGUCAAAGCUAAAGUUGUCGUGCCUUUUCUUAUUAAUUAUGUGUUGAAGUUUGAAUAUUGUUAUGUAUAAGUAGCUAUUUAGAAUGGAAUAAACUUAUCCUAUUGUGGAACAUAGUUAUGCUUGAUCUAAUUAUGAAAAUAAGAUAUGUAGAUGAAAAUGAGUGACAAAAGCAUGGAUAUGUCUAUGUUAUGCAUCAAUUGCCUAAUGGAAUUGCUAUGAUAUUACCCAGUGUUAUCAAAGGCGAAAAGCGCAAAAAAACUCUAAGGUCUGUUGGGGCUUUAAGUGCAAAGCGCAAGUGUGGGCUUUAAUGAAGAAAGGCGCAAAUGGAGAAAAACGACAAAUAUAUAUGUGCAGUCCAAGACUAAAAUGUAUAAGCAUACAUACUAAAUAUAUGAUCAAAGAAAUUGAAGAAAAUUUAUGACAAAAGUAAAAUAUCAAUUGUUUAGUGUCACCUUUUCAGGAUUAUGCUCGUUGGCAAGGAAAAGUAUGCCUUGGAGCCUUGAUGACAACACUAAAGCGCCCGCUAAGCGAGGCGAAGCGCUUAACAUGUUUUGAGCCUCGCUUUAGGGCUUAAGCGCGCCUUUGAUAACACUAUUAUUGCCUCACUAGAUCUGAUGCAACAUUUUAUCUCUACCACCUUCGGGGAGCCUGGAAUUUGGCUUCGGCACCUAUCCCUUGAGACCCUGCAAAUAUCUAGUUGGAACCUAAUGUAGCAGUUUUAGAUGAAGUUAGGUUCUUGACUUCCUUAGAACUUGCUGAGCUGUUUCUCUUUUGUUGGGAAGCAUUGUCCUUUAUUUUCUCAUUUCCUGGUGAUUGUGUAUGAUAUUAAGCGUGAUUUAGCAGACUUAUGGCAUUAAGGAACAUUAUUCAUAAAGAUGAUACAGGUGAUUGGUACCUUUGUGCUUACUAAAUUUGUUGGCUGGAGCUCUCGGAUACUUUGAAGAUUGAAAUGCCUUUUUUUCCAUUUUGGGUUGGGUUUUUCAUGCUGACAAUUCUUUGUCCGAGACACUACAUAUUUUCAAAUUAUUCUGAUUGAUACUGACAACCAUAACCUCUAAUCUUUGUUGUUUCCUAAAGCUUGUUUUUUUUGUCUGUGUCGAUUCACUUCCAUUGUUGACUAUAAAUAUUACAUGUCUGUGAACAAUUACGAUUUUUCACAUCAUAACGAGGAAUCUCUUAAAUGAGCCAUGCUCUUUGAAUAGGAAUAAUUUAUGGUGUUCUCAGUUCUUCACACUUUAUGGGCCUUAUUUUACUUAUAUGUUAGCCUCUUUCGGAUGUAUUCUUUUUUAUUACAUCUAAUAGUGAGGAUGCAUCUUAAAAGCAAGUUGAACGGCUAGAAUUAGAACCUUGGUGACAUGUCUUGACUCAAGACUGUUAAUUCUUGAUUGUCGUACUCAUACUGGAGCCACAUAGCAGAACUACUAAGAAAUCAAACUAGUGAACUGUCAAAGAAUUCACUCUAUGCAACUUGGUAUGACAAGAUGGAACAUAAAACCAAGCAUGUUGUGGCAGAAAGCUUACAGACAAGAAAUAACAAGCAGCCAGAAAUUAGUGGAAAGUUAUUAGGAUACCUUUUAAAGAACUUCAAUACUCUGGUAAUGUUCAAAGCUCAAACUUAAAAUCUGAAGGUGUGAUCUGCUACUGCAAUUUGAUUAGGUCAUGAAAUUUUUGCAAGUGUCGCAACCGUAACGUGUCACGUGGACAAAAUAGCUGCAAGCUUUUCGACUAACAUUGUUGUUGAGGGACUCGUUCCUAGAAUGUUGUGGAUAAGAGUUAGCAAUGAACAGUAAUAGUUACUUAGUGCUUAUGCAAUCCUAUUUGUAGAGAGAGUGGGGGAGAGGAAGAAUUCACAUAGUAUCGCCUAUGUUGAGAUUCGAGCCUUGGUUCCCCAGGUCAUUACUCUUCUCUUCGACUUCUAGACUGUUCCGUUGAAGGUGUUUAUGGCAUAUGGCUAUUACGGGACAUUUAUUCCUCUAGAGAGUAGAGACAUAGUUAUCUUAUCAAAAACAAUUCCUCCAGAGACAUAAUUUUAAUAGUUCUGAGCUAAUAACUUCCUCCACAGGUAAUUCCACCAUUUUUUUUGCUGAAAUUAUAGGCUGAAGAUCCUCAAAUUACUUUUGAGGUUUGAAGUCCUUUCUUUCCUUUUGGGUUAAAUAAUUGGAGUCUUUAGAGUCUUCAUAGAAUAGUAGUCAGUGUGAAAUAGCAUUAGAUGCCUGGGCAACAAUUAAGGUAUUGGUUCAUUAUGAUAAAACUAUCAAAUGAACCUUGCUCCUAGCAUAGGAAUAAUUUAAUUUAUGUUUUCUUUGUAAGUAAAAUUGGCAAGACAUGGCGAUGCUUCAGAUUACCGAGGACAUGACCCUUGAUAGAAAGGUAUGGAGGUCAAGGAUUAGGGUAGAAGGUUAGGUGGCCGAGUGGUUUUUCUUGGUCUCACUAGUAGCAUUAGGACAUACUCUCGUCUUGUUUUUAGUCAUAGGUUUCUAUUAUUGCCUGGUGUUGCUUUCGAUUUGGUUAUCUUACUAUCUUGUUGUUUUCAAUGCUUCUUUUCCAUGGCUCCUCAUUAUUGUUUCUGCCUGUUUUCUUUUCAUUAUUGUUGUGCUUAUGCUUCACUGAGCCGAGGGUCUAUUGAAAACAGCCUUUCUAUCUCCACGAGAUAGGGGUAAGGUCUGCGUACACACUACCCUCCCCAGACCCCACUAUGUGGGAUUAUACUGGGUUUGUUGUUGUUGUUUGUAAGUAAAAUUGAGUCAAACCAAACUGUUAAGUGUGAACACCUUGUCUGAAGUUGUUUAAUUUUUCUAACUUAAAAGAAGUGCCAACCAAUUACUGUAAUCUCUACUUUUUUGUAUUUGUCUGCAAUAACUAUUUGUGCCCUCUAACCAAAUAAUUAUUGUAAUCUUCUCUUUGUGUAUCUUCAAUUAAUGUGAUCUUCUAUUAUUCAAAAGUAGUAAAAUGCAUUUAUUACUAAGUGAGAACGCUUCAUCACAUCUCACUUUUUGGUUGGUUAUAAAUGGUGAAAGAUUCAUAUCCUAACACAUGUGUUUAGUUUUUUUCAGAUCGGUCAAUCUCGUUCCUUUUUCUUUCUUAGAUGCUAGAAAUGGUCCUCCGUCUCAUCAAAUGAUAAUCUUUCAUGUUAUAUGUAAGGAGAAUCACAAACCUGACAAAUAUGUGUGAUCAUCUCUAAAGAAAGAAUACAGUAUUUCCUGAUGUUUAGAUAAAUUUUUGUCAUUUCAUUUACAAAAGAAUGCCCUGUAUGUGAAAAAAAUGUCAUAUCGCUUUCUUGAAAAAGACACAUUUGUCAGGCUUGUGAUUUUCCUCUAAUGGCAUGGAAAAUAUUAUCAACUAGCGAGUGGACCUCCAUUCAUUUGAGUUGGAAAACGGAACGGGUCAUUGAUCGGGUACUUCUCCAGCGCUGGGGCUGGAGCACUUUCACCGAUUUUCAAGAUUUCAGUGAUGUUUUUGAGUUGGUGAAAUUGUUUUUUUCCUUAGAACCCUAAAUUGAUUAACCCUUUGAGUGAUUCUUAUCCUUUUCCAUGAUUAUUUCUUGUUUUUUUUGUGUGGAUUUGUGCAGAUUUUGGAACCUUGUUAACUGCUUCAAUUUAAUUACCAAAUCUUGAAUCCAAAAUUGCUUUUAGAAGAAGCUAGGAAGAUUUUGAUAAUGUAAUUUCUGGAAAUUGUUCAUUUAUUGACUAUUAUGAUGUAUGUAUCUAUAAAUUCGAACUCUAGAAGAUUAAGUUAGCUUAUUAGUGCAUCCACGAAACCAUAUAUGAAACUAAUUUGAAUUAUUUUACCGAUUACGAUUAGUAAGCUCUAUUGCAGGAAAAGGAUAUGUUUCUAAAACUCGACGAUAGGAUUGCUUGGUAAAUGAUUUCAUACUCAUCUUUGAUAAAAUCGUCUUGUUACUGACCUGCUAUUUUUGAGCUUCUGUUUCUUAACAUGUUUAUGUCAGUAUAUCUGUUUUUUUUUACUUGGCAGACUUUGGGUUUCCUUCAACACCUUCACAUACGGAUGGAGCAAUCGAAGGAGUUUUUCUUGAAAUGAGAUCCCAUCCAAAUGUAAAACCUGUCUGGAUACGUCCUGCUAUAUUCUAGAUUCAUAAAUGUUUGAGGACAAGCGGCCACUUUGCAAUUUUUUUGGUAUAUGUAAGGAAUAGAUUGCAUUAUGAUGAUAUAUCUGAACAAAGUGGAGAAUGGAGACUGGUAAUCUUGAAGUGUUAUCAGGUUUUGGUGCACAAGGUAAUUCCACCUUUAUUGCUAAAGCUAAUGGCUGAAGCUUUUCAGACCACUUUGAGGUAUGAAAUCCCUUUGUUUCGAAUUUGUGUUUCCCUCUGUAAUUCUCGUUUUAGACUCUAAAUGGUGCUAGCCCUUGUUCCAACAAUAAAGACAUGCCGUUGCCUCAUUAGGAUAAAACACUUAAAUGAACCUUGUUGCUCUUAGUAUAGGAAUGAUCUAUUGCUACUUCAGUACAAUAAAACUCUUAAAUGAACCUUGUUUCUCUUAGUAUGGGAAUAAUCUAGGUUGCUUUCAGUAAUGCACACCUUAUUUCACCUACUUUUUAGACCCUCUCAGUGUGUAAUGUAAAAUUAUUAUUACAUUUAUUAAUAAGCUAAUGAGUAUGCAUCUGGAAGACUAGCUGGAGUGCUAGAAAUAAAUGUUCAGUGACACUUUUUCUACUCAAGAGUCAAGAGUGUAACUCUUAAUUCUCAGAACUCUUAUUGGAGCCACUUCGUAGAACAAACUACGAAGAAUUGAAAAUACUAAAUCAAUCAAAGAAAUCAUUCCUAUGCAACUUGGUAUAAUAAGUUGGAAAGUAAAAGCAAGCAUGCUGCGGCAGCAAUUGUUACAAACCUGAAAUAACUGUCUAAAAAGUAUUGGAAAGCUAUAGGAGAGCUUCAAUAUCUUGGUAAUGAUCUAACUUAAAGUCUGAACAUGUGAUUUAUAUCAGAAUUUGUUGGGGCAUGAUAUAUUUUGAAGGUUGCAUCUGUAUAUAGUGUAUCAUAUGGUCAUAUAGUCGCAUGCAUUUCAACUUAAUUUAAUUCUUGCUGAGGAACUCGUUCCCCGCAUAUUAUGAAUAAAUAUUUAGUUGUGUCAUAUUAACAGUUGUCGUGUCUCUCACUCUUCCUAUUUGUCAAGUAAAUCUGCUUGUUCUCCACACUUUUGUUCCCAUAGGUUGGUAUUGGCCUUCAAAGGGCAGAUCCAAUUCGUAAACUUCUCAACACCAGCCUUGAACUAUUAGUGCAGUUGUUAUAUUCCAUCGUCCUGAAAUCAAGCUGGUUGGUAAUAGUAGAAUGACGCCUUUACAUAUUUUCCUUCCGUAGAAAGAAUUAUCUCCAUUAGUAAAGGAGUUCAGUUUAGUGCUCAUGUAAUACUGCAUGCCAUUGGAAAUUUUCUUGUUUCUACUUUCUUUGGUACUUUCAAUGCUACAGGGAUUGCCGCCUCCUGAGCCUGAUAUAUUCCAUGUCUUCGACUUAUCAUUUCCCCCCAGGUAUCCUUCUUUUUUUUGUAGUUUUAUGUACGUGUUAGUGAAUGAUGGUUUGUGUGGUUUGUAGUUUGCUUUCAUAUUAGGUCAACAAAUUAAUUGGGUCUCUGAGCUCAAGAGGAGACUAAAAUCGACCAUUUGAAUCCUUAUUGUCCAUGUCGCUUGAUUUAACCCCGUCUUACUCUGAUAUUAUGUUCAAGAAUUUGUUGUAAUGCUUAAAUAAUGAGUUGAAGAUUGGAUAUUCAA